AUGAGCCCCCCACCGCCGCAGCGCGGCCGCCACUCGCCGCCGGCGCUGGACGACGACGCCAUGAGCGAGAUCUUCCUGCGCAUCCCGCCGGACGACCCCAAGAGCCUCGUCCGCGCCGCCGCCGUCUGCGCGACCUGGCGCCGCAUCCUCUCCGACGCCGCCUUCGCCCGCGGCUACCGCGCCUUCCACGGGGCGCCGCCCAUGCUGGGCUUCCUCCACAACGAGAGCCACGAGAGGUCGUGGGGCAGGGGGCGGCGCAGGCGCCACGAGGAGUACCUGGUCUCCAACUUCGUCUCCACCGCGUCCUUCCGCCCGCCGGCGUGCCACGAGCGCCGCCACUGGCCCGCCAUCGACUCCCGCCACGGCCUCGUCCUCUUCCACACGCCCAAGAGGUGCGAGGACUUUGUCAUCUGCGACCUCGUCACCUACGACCGGUGGAGGAUCAAGGCCGACCCCGCCUGCCGUCGCAUCAUCUGGAAUGGCCGGUUUGAUGAGGACUGGGGCGACUACGAGGAUGAGGACGACGACGUCACCUGGAACGCCGCGGUGCUCUGUGCCAAGGACGGCUGCGAGCACCUCUACUGCCACGGCGGGCCUUUCCUCGUGGCCCUCGUGGGCUCCGACAGGGGACGGCAGAUAACAUUUGCCACCGUCUACUCAUCGGCGACUCGUAAGUGGAGCGGCAUGAUCUCCGUCAAGGAAUGGAAUGUCGUCGAGAUGACCGGGCACAAUGCAGUUGUGGGAAACAAGGCCUAUUUCCCCUGUGAGCAGAGCGACAGUGUCGUGGAGUAUGACAUGGGUGAGCAAAAACUGUCGGUGAUAGGUGCGCCGUUCGGCAGACUGGUGGGAGCGGAGGGCGGCCUGCUCCUGUUCGCAACUGUGCUGAAGCCUAGGCUCCACCUCCACAUAUGGUCAAUGGAGGUCCGUCCUGAUAGAACUACGGCUUUGGCGCGACGCAGGAUCAUUGAGCUCGCACCAAAGCUCUCUGGUUAUGCCUUCUUGGACGUGUCGGUGGUUGGCUUUGCAGAAGGUGUUGGUGUCAUCUUCCUGAGCACAAAGGCUGGGUUGUACACAGUUGAGCUCAGUUCGAGCCGAAUCAAGAACAUGGACAGAGAGCGAAGCCUCGGAAAAAUCAUGCCAUACAUGUGCUUCUACACUAGAGAAUGGGGGCGGUUGCCGACCUCUGACUGA
rnacentral:rRNA from 1 species